UACGCUUGUUUUGCGUGUAGUAGUGAUGCAGACCGACUAGUUACAUACUUUAAACUAUGAAUCGCUGCGCAGAGCAUACACAGAGUACAAUUGGAAACUAUAAACCAUGAUAUUUUGUCAAAGUGCACUACAACAAUUUGACAAUUUUUUUGGGUAUAAGUACCUAUGCUAUAUAAUGGUUUGCGUUGGCUGACUACAACAAAAUACCUACAUCUUUUCUUUGCCUACCAAGCUUCAAAUGGCUUUAUACCUACAAUGCACGGAGUGCGGCUGCUUUGCAAGGCUUGGAGGUUGUGCUCGUUUGGGACAGCUUUACCUUCUGGCUUAUCGUGAUAAACAUAAAGGCACGUAUCGGAGGGGGUAAGUUGUUCCAGCACUUACUAGCAGCAUACUUGAAGGAACCACGGAAUGCUGCUGUUUUGAAGCUUGGCGUCACCAGCAUAUACGAAGAAGCACGCGUGUUAUGCCUGUUGUGAGUACUAGACCAGUCUAAUUUAGUAUAGAGGUAGUCAGGAGAACGUGUUUUAAUAAUUUUAAAUAAUAGGGUUGCAAAAUGAAGUUGUCUUCUGGCCUGUAAUUUUAACAAAUUUGAAUUAUUGAGGUAAGGGGUAACAUGCGCGCGCGGAGCUAUGUUGAAGCAAAAACGAGCGCAUGCAUU